AUACUACUCCCUCCGUCCCAAAGUAAGUGACUCAAAAAUGACUCAACUUUGUACUAACUUUAGUGCAAAGUUGACUCAUUUUUGAGUCACUUAUUUUGGAACGGAGGAAGUAUAUA
rfam:Hordeum vulgare subsp. vulgare, WGS project CAJW01000000 data, contig: morex_contig_1563056